GUUCGUUCUGCACGGGGGAGGCGCUCUCGGGUGAGCGGCGGGGGGACACGAUGGGAAAGAAGGGAGAGGGGGAAAAGAGCGGGAUUUCUCCUUCCCAAAGCUUGACCAAAUAGAGGAGGAGGCUGCGAGGAAGAGGAAGAUCCCACAGGACCCCCAGGCAGACAACAACUUGAGGACAGAGACCAUGGAGGACAAAUCCCCCUGGCAGAACCUCAUGGAAGAGGCUGUUUUCAACAGCUCCACUGUGCAGGAAGGCAACGGGGAGGAAAAGCCACAAAGAUUCCCCAUGGGAAAGGGCUCCAAACCCACUCCAUGUUGCUUCGAGGAGGAAAGACCCCCCGGUGUGCUGGGAAGGUGGUUAGAGCUUCAGCCAGAGCUCUGACCUCGUGGUCCAUGAGCAGCUUCACAGCAGAAAGAAGCCCUUCAUGUGCUUGGAAUGUGGGAAGAGCUUCAGCUGGAGGUCCCACCUGAUCUGCCACCAGAAGAUCCACACCGGGGAACGGCCCUACACAUGUGGGGAAUAUGAGAAGAGCUCCAGCCAGAGCUCUGACCUGGUGGUCCACCAUCAUCUUCACACUGGGGAAUGACCCUACAAGUACUUGGAAUGUGGAAAGAGUUUCAGCAAGAACUCCAGCCUCACGUAACACCAGCACUUCCACAGUGGGGAAUGACCCUAC